rnacentral:lncRNA from 1 species
AUGAUUGCUGGCCAGGUUUUAGAUAUUAAUCUGGCUGCAGAGCCAAAAGUGAACAGAGGAAAAGCAGGUGUGAAACGAUCUGCAGCGGAGAUGUAUGGGACCUCUUUUGACUUGGACCAUGACUUUCAACAUGAUUAUUAUGACAGGAUGUACAGUUACCCAGCACGUGUUCCUCCUCCUCCUCCUAUUGCUCGGGCCGUACUGCCCUCAAAAUGGCAGCGUGUAUCAGGAAACACCUCACGGAGGGGCAAAAGUGGCUUCAAUUCUAAGAGUGGACAGCGGGGAUCUUCUUCCAAGUCUGGAAAGUUGAAAGGUGAUGAUCUUCAGGCCACUGAAAAGCCUGGAGAAGAUUGAAAAGGAACAGAGCAAACAAGCAGUAGAGAUGAAGAAUAAGUCAGAAGAGGAGCAAACCAGCACCUCCCUGAAGAAAGAUGAGACUAACGUGAAGAUGGAGUCUGAGGGUGCUGCAGAUGACUCUGCUGAGGAGGGGGACCUACUGGAUGAUGACGACAAUGAAGAUGGGGGGAUGACCAGCUGGACUUGAUCAAGGAUGAUGAAAAAGAGGCUGAGGAAGGAGAGGAUGACAGAGACAGCAUCAACGGCGAGGAUGACUCUUAAGCACAUAGUGAGGUUUAGAAGUCUUAUCCCAUUAUUUCUAUACCUAGGCGCUCGUCUAAGAUCAAAAUUUCACCAGAGCCUCUCCCCUAGUAUCUUCAGCACAUGCUCACUGUUCUUUGUCCUUCCCAUGUUCGUAAUUGCCCUGCGCCUAGUGCCAUUUUCACUUCUUCUGACACUCCUAGUAGUUUUGUUAAGUCUUACCCUGUAAUUUUGCUUUUUAAUUUUGAUACCUCUUUAUGACUUAACAAUAAAAAGGUUGUAUGGUUAUCAGCUGCUGUCUCCACAAUAAUCUCUCGUUAUGCAGGGAGUACAGUUAUUUCCAUUCAUACAUGAUUUCAGUAGUUGCUUCCCUAACUGCAAAGGCAAUCUCAUUUAGUUGUAGUAUCUGAGAGCAGCUUUGAGUUAGAAGUGUGUGUGUUACCCCACAUGAAAUACUUUGUGGGACUGUUGAACACAAAUGUAACAAUGUAUUUUUGUGAAUGAGAGUUGGCAUGUCAAAUGCAUCCUCUAGAAAAAUUAGUGUAAUAGUCUUUGUUUUCUAAAGUUGAUACUGUGAGUUAUUUUUGUGAACAGCCUGUUUGGGAUCUUCUUUCUCAAAAUAAGUCCUUAUUAAACCAGGAAUUUGGAGAAGAAAAAAAAAAAAGAGUAUAGCCUCAAUGUGCAUACACUUGGCUAUAAAUGUCUCUAG